UGGGGAAUAUUGGACAAUGGGGGAAACCCUGAUCCAGCAAUGCCGCGUGAGUGCCGAAGGCCUUAGGGUUGUAAAGCUCUUUCGCCCGCGAAGAUAAUGACGGUAGCGGGAGAAGAAGCCCCGGCUACCUCCGUGCCAGCAGCCGCGGUAAUACGGAGGGGGCUAGCGUUGUUCGGAAUUACUGGGCGUAAAGCGUACGUAGGCGGAUGCGCAAGUUGGGGGUGAAAUCCCGGGGCUUAACCUCGGAAUUGCCCUCAAAACUGCACGUCUUGAGACCGAGAGAGGUAAGGGGAAUUCCUAGUGUAGAGGUGAAAUUCGUAGAUAGUAGGAAGGACACCAGUGGCGAAGGCGCCUUACUGGCUCGGUACUGACGCUGAG
rnacentral:rRNA from 1 species